ensembl:piRNA 21ur-523 ncRNA
UAAUUCCAUUUGUGAUCUUUU